rnacentral:rRNA from 1 species
CGAGCGGCGGACGGGUGAGUAACACGUGGGUAACCUGCCCAAGAGACUGGGAUAACACCUGGAAACAGAUGCUAAUACCGGAUAACAACACUAGACGCAUGUCUAGAGUUUGAAAGAUGGUUCUGCUAUCACUCUUGGAUGGACCUGCGGUGCAUUAGCUAGUUGGUAAGGUAACGGCUUACCAAGGCAAUGAUGCAUAGCCGAGUUGAGAGACUGAUCGGCCACAUUGGGACUGAGACACGGCCCAAACUCCUACGGGAGGCAGCAGUAGGGAAUCUUCCACAAUGGACGAAAGUCUGAUGGAGCAACGCCGCGUGUGUGAAGAAGGGUUUCGGCUCGUAAAGCUCUGUUGGUAGUGAAGAAAGAUAGAGGUAGUAACUGGCCUUUAUUUGACGGUAAUUACUUAGAAAGUCACGGCUAACUACGUGCCAGCAGCCGCGGUAAUACGUAGGUGGCAAGCGUUGUCCGGAUUUAUUGGGCGUAAAGCGAGUGCAGGCGGUUCAAUAAGUCUGAUGUGAAAGCCUUCGGCUCAACCGGAGAAUUGCAUCAGAAACUGUUGAACUUGAGUGCAGAAGAGGAGAGUGGAACUCCAUGUGUAGCGGUGGAAUGCGUAGAUAUAUGGAAGAACACCAGUGGCGAAGGCGGCUCUCUGGUCUGCAACUGACGCUGAGGCUCGAAAGCAUGGGUAGCGAACAGGAUUAGAUACCCUGGUAGUCCAUGCCGUAAACGAUGAGUGCUAAGUGUUGGGAGGUUUCCGCCUCUCAGUGCAGCAGCUAACGCAUUAAG